rnacentral:rRNA from 1 species
UGGGGGAUAUUGCACAAUGGGCGAAAGCCUGAUGCAGCGACCCCGCGUGAGGGAAGACGGUCCUCUGGAUUGUAAACCUCUGUCUUUGGGGACGAAUAAAUGACGGUACCCAAGGAGGAAGCUCCGGCUAACUACGUGCCAGCAGCCGCGGUAAUACGUAGGGAGCAAGCGUUGUCCGGAAUUACUGGGUGUAAAGGGAGCGUAGGCGGGGCAUUAAGUUGAUUGUGAAAUCUACCGGCUCAACUGGUAGCUGCGAUCAAAACUGAUGCUCUUGAGUGAAGUAGAGGCAGGCGGAAUUCCUAGUGUAGCGGUGAAAUGCGUAGAUAUUAGGAGGAACACCAGUGGCGAAGGCGGCCUGCUGGGCUUUUACUGACGCUGAGGCUCGAAAGCAUGGGGAGCAAACAGGAUUAGAUACCCUGGUAGUCCAUGCCGUAAACGAUGAUUACUAGGUGUGGGGGGACAAUCCUUCCGUGCCGGAGUUAACACAAUAAGUAAUCCACCUGGGGAGUACGACCGCAAGGUUGAAACUCAAAGGAAUUGACGGGGGCCCGCACAAGCAGUGGAGUAUGUGGUUUAAUUCGAAGCAACGCGAAGAACCUUACCAGGUCUUGACAUCUCCUGAAUAGCCUAGAGAUAGGUGAAGCCCUUCGGGGCAGGAAGACAGGUGGUGCAUGGUUGUCGUCAGCUCGUGUCGUGAGAUGUUGGGUUAAGUCCCGCAACGAGCGCAACCCUUGUUACUAGUUGCUACGCAAGAGCACUCUAGUGAGACUGCCGUUGACAAAACGGAGGAAGGUGGGGAUGACGUCAAAUCAUCAUGCCCCUUAUGACCUGGGCUACACACGUACUACAAUGGCGAUGAACAGAGGGUCGCGAAAUGGUGACAUGGAGCCAAUCCUCAAAAAUCGUCUCAGUUCAGAUUGCAGGCUGCAACCCGCCUGCAUGAAGUCGGAAUUGCUAGUAAUCGCGGAUCAGCAUGCCGCGGUGAAUACGUUCCC